UUCCCCAUGGUCCUUACGGAGUUCCCAGCAUCCACUAGGACGUCAGAGAAAUAUAAUAGAAGCAGUGUGCCCGACUCCUCUGCCAGACACACCGCUGAUAACGCAUGAAGUUCGGGCUGCAUGCCUAUGCACUUUCAGAGAACAUAACCUAACAAGUGCAAAGACCUGAGCACUGGCUGCAGCACUGCCGACAUCUGCAGCACAAGCAAGAAGGAUAAUGGAAGGACGAAUGGCAGCAGUUAGGUGUGUAACCAUGGUGACUGGGGCCGGUCGGGUGACGUCACUUCCGGUGCGCCGGGGGACCCGCGGCCGGAAGCCCCACUGCUGAACGGCGUCCACGAGUGCCUGGGGACACACUGGAGGAAGGAGGACACACCGAGAGAUUCCGUCUUAUGGGCAGAGUUAUUGGAGUGGCACCAUACACCUAGCAUGGGGAUGGUGAACGUCUAGAUGGAGCUGCUGAAGUGGGUGUCCCAGGACAUCGACAGUCAGAUGCCUGGCUAUACAUACUGUAUAUAUACUGGAAUUACCAUAAAGCCACGACUACAGCAAAUGAUGAUAACACUGUGGCUGCAGCGUUCUCCUCAGAAUCAGCACCUGGAUUAUUGACCAUAAACAUUUCCGUGGAUUUUUCUGCUGGACCAACAUUUUCAGGAUUUAAUACAUUUUCUGUCUUAUUUAUUUAUACAUAUUUAUUGUUUUCUUUCUCAUUUAAACAAGCCCUUUGUAUUCAAUUUAUAUGUUAU